GCAGAAGAAGCACCGGCUAACUCCGUGCCAGCAGCCGCGGUAAUACGGAGGGUGCAAGCGUUAAUCGGAAUUACUGGGCGUAAAGCGCACGCAGGCGGUUGGAUAAGUUAGAUGUGAAAGCCCCGGGCUCAACCUGGGAAUUGCAUUUAAAACUGUCCAGCUAGAGUCUUGUAGAGGGGGGUAGAAUUCC
rnacentral:rRNA from 1 species